rnacentral:lncRNA from 1 species
AUUUGAAGCUGUCAGAAGAUGAUGCCACAAUCUUAAGAGCCUCUGGAUGGGAUGUGCCACUGGGGCUUAGAGGGUUUCAGAAGAGAGAUUUGAUCUGUCCAUAAGGCUGAUGAACAGAAGCAAAGUUCCUCCAAGCCAGGCUUGUGAGGGAUGCUCAGCACGCAGAACUCUCAGCACGCAGAACUCAGGCCUCUGGCUCCAGGGUCGCUCUCACUGACCAGUGGACCAGCUCCCAAGGAAUAAACAUCGAUGUGUUCUCAUUUCCUGAGAGCCUGAAAAACAGUCUCAUUCAGCG